rnacentral:rRNA from 1 species
GACGAACGCUGGCGGCGUGCCUAAUACAUGCAAGUAGAACGCACAGUUUAUACCGUAGCUUGCUACACCAUAGACUGUGAGUUGCGAACGGGUGAGUAACGCGUAGGUAACCUGCCUGGUAGCGGGGGAUAACUAUUGGAAACGAUAGCUAAUACCGCAUAAUAUUGAUUAUUGCAUGAUAAUUGAUUGAAAGAUGCUAUUGCAUCACUACCAGAUGGACCUGCGUUGUAUUAGCUAGUAGGUGAGGUAACGGCUCACCUAGGCGACGAUACAUAGCCGACCUGAGAGGGUGAUCGGCCACACUGGGACUGAGACACGGCCCAGACUCCUACGGGAGGCAGCAGUAGGGAAUCUUCGGCAAUGGACGAAAGUCUGACCGAGCAACGCCGCGUGAGUGAAGAAGGUUUUCGGAUCGUGAAGCUCUGUUGUAAGAGAAGAACGGGUGUGAGAGUGGAAAGUUCACACUGUGACGGUAUCUUACCAGAAAGGGACGGCUAACUACGUG